rnacentral:sRNA from 1 species
AGUGAACUUCGUUUGCAGUGGAAAUCCUUUUAAAAAGCGAUUUUUCAUCGCUUUUUAAAAGAUUGCAACGUAUAGCUGGAUUAGCU